ACGAAAAUAGAGAAAAAGGAAACGAUCUCGAGCAAACUAACAUAGGAAAAAACUUCGUUAUAUUUGGGAACGAAUCGGAAUUUCGUGUAUGUAGAGCAGAUAUGAGAACCACCAUAUUAUAGGACCGUCUCUGUUACCGUGUGUUAGCAGUCAGUUAGUGUUAUUAGUUCAUCUAUCAUCGCUGUUAUGUUAUACUCCAGAAUAGCCGAAUUACUGCACUUCACGUAAAAUCGAUUGAACGAUAGGAAUGUGACCGCGUCGUCCGUUUGUGUCCUCUUGUUCGGCGCUCCGCCACCGCUCUGUUGCCAUUCCGCCACCUCAGGCUGAGUGACGCAUUAAAUGUUUGUGCAUUAAUAUUAUUACCAUCAUUCAAUUGAAGUCGAUCGGGUAUCGACUUCUAUUGAGGAUAUUCGUCUGCAGAUUUGUGUCCUCGUCCCUUUCCGUGUGCGUGUGUAUCGCGAUCGUCUCAGGCAUUGCUAACCAACAAAAAGCGAUAAUACUUUCGGCUCUUCGAUGUCCCGCGGCGUUGAUACCGACUGUACAGUCGGUGUGAUUGAUUUGCCAAAAUGAUCUGGAGCAGUUCAUUGAUCGAUCAAAUCAUUGAUACACGAUGGUAUUAUGACAGAUAUAACUCGGCUUUAACCCACGUAUGUGCCCCUUUCUUUACUACUGGGCGCAACCCGAUGUUGGCGCCACAUGACGCGCUAAUGUGCGUCGUUGCUAGGUGUGACGACCCACCAUCAAGAAGCACAUCUUAUCCCUUAAACGAUGAAGAACAGACUGACAGACGCUGCUUAGUUCCCCUCGCCGUCAUAACAAGUUCGAUCAGCAAGACACCACAAGAUAUCGUAUGGAUUUAUUGGGCUCAACGCUAUAUAGGAUAUUGUUGUAUCAGACGUACUAGCGGAACGUGGUCGCAUUCACACAACAACGUUUUGGCGCAUAAUUCGUUUUACGGAGAGGACCACGUUGAAGCUGCUACGGUUACGCUGAAAAGCUGUGAUGAUCCCAGUACUUUUUAUCUGCGCUUUGUACACCGGCUUUGCAGUUCGUCGGCUGGCCACCAACACAACAAAAGCGGUGAAAAUUGUGGCCAGCUUAAUGCGCCGUCGAGGAACGGGAAAAUAGAAUUUGUUUCCAGCCAAAAACAGCGCAUUCUGACCGUGUUGCCUGGAAACAAACGAACAUAUUGACGUGUGACUGUUACCAGCGUUGCUGCUAUUCCUGCUCCAGCGGAUGUCACUGAACAAUAUCGUAACGGUCUGUCUAUGUAUUAAUAAAUAGUGUGCACUGUAUGAAGCGGA